AUUGAACGCUGGCGGCAGGCCUAACACAUGCAAGUCGAGCGGAUGAAGGGAGCUUGCUCCUGGAUUCAGCGGCGGACGGGUGAGUAAUGCCUAGGAAUCUGCCUGGUAGUGGGGGAUAACGUCCGGAAACGGGCGCUAAUACCGCAUACGUCCUGAGGGAGAAAGUGGGGGAUCUUCGGACCUCACGCUAUCAGAUGAGCCUAGGUCGGAUUAGCUAGUUGGUGGGGUAAAGGCCUACCAAGGCGACGAUCCGUAACUGGUCUGAGAGGAUGAUCAGUCACACUGGAACUGAGACACGGUCCAGACUCCUACGGGAGGCAGCAGGGGGGAAUAUUGGACAAUGGGCGAAAGCCUGAUCCAGCCAUGCCGCGUGUGUGAAGAAGGUCUUCCGAUUGUAAAGCACUUUAAGUUGGGAGGAAGGGCAGUAAGUUAAUACCUUGCUGUUUUGACGUUACCAACAGAAUAAGCACCGGCUAACUUCGUG
rnacentral:rRNA from 1 species